ensembl:miRNA
ACUGCAGGGCUGUCUAGGCCGUCGGGGAGUGGGGGCGGUGCACGCAACGGUCAGCGGGCAGGUGUGUGGC